rnacentral:rRNA from 1 species
CACGUAGUUAGCCGGAGCUUCUUCUGCAGGUACCGUCGAUGUCUUCCCUGCUGAAAGCGGUUUACAGCCCGAGGGCCUUCGUCCCGCACGCGGCGUUGCUGCGUCAGGGUUUCCCCCAUUGCGCAAAAUUCCCCACUGCUGCCUCCCGUAGGAGUCUGGGCCGUAUCUCAGUCCCAAUGUGGCCGGUCGACCUCUCAGUCCGGCUACCCAUCGUCGGCUAGGUGGGCCUCUACCCCGCCUACUACCCUAAUGGGCCGCGGCCCCAUCCCCCGCCGCCUGGGCUUUCCCGCCGGCCCCAUGCGGGGCCCGCGGAGUACCCCGGUAUUAGCCCGCCGUUUCCAGCGGUCGUCCCGGAGCGGGGGCAGGUGGUCACGUGUUACUCACCCGUUCGCCACUGUAUUCCCGGCCGAAGCCGGCUUAACCGUUCGACUUGCAUGUGUUAGGCACGCCGCCAGCGUUCAUCCUGAGCCAGGAUCAAACUCU